AUGGGCAUGUUACAUAUAACGUAUACCAGUAGAAAUGAAGAUGGAGACGUGGACAAUCAUAGUCACACUUAUGUUUGUGGCCUUUGCUGUAAUGAUCGCUUUGAGUUUGUUUUUCGGAAGGCGUACAACGGUACAAUUGUCCCCCAUGGUGGUACUGGCGGUGGUAGAGGUGGAGGCUUUAGGCGGUGGAGCCCAUAUUAAUAACGACGUUGAAGCCAAUAUUGGCAUUGGAACAGACUUUGGCGGUGGGGCUGACUAUGGCGGUGGAGCUGGUUUUGGUGACGGCGGCAUAGGAGGUGGCGCUGGUUUUGGCGGUGGAGGUGAUUUUGGUGGUGGUGGUGGUGGAGGGGGAGGAGGACAUGUUGGCAGUGCAUGUUAA
rnacentral:lncRNA from 1 species